rnacentral:rRNA from 1 species
UACGUAGGGGGCUAGCGUUGUCCGGAUUUAUUGGGCGUAAAGAGCGUGUAGGCGGCCAGGUAGGUCCGUUGUGAAAACUCGAGGCUCAACCUCGAGACGUCGGCGGAAACCCUCUGGCUAGAGUCCGGAAGAGGAGAGUGGAAUUCCUGGUGUAGCGGUGAAAUGCGCAGAUAUCGGGAAGAACACCCGUGGCGAAGGCGGGUCUCUGGGCAGUAACUGACGCUGAGGAGCGAAAGCGUGGGGAGCGAACAGG